rnacentral:rRNA from 1 species
AUUCAAAAAAUCUGGCGGUAUUUUAGUCUAUUCAGAGGAACCUGUCCUAUAAUUGAUAAUCCACGAUUAAUUUAACUUGUUUUCAGUUUGUAUAUCGUCGUAGGUUGAAUGUUUUUAAAAAAAAUGGAAUAUUCAAAAUUUAUAUUAAAUUAAAGAAAAUCAGAUCAAGAUACAGCGUAUGGAUAANGAGANAUGGGUUACAAUAAGUUUACUUNUNUGGUUAAAAUNUUUAAAAUUNUUUUAUAAAGNGGAUUUGAUAGUAAUAUAAUUUWUUUAAAUUAUAUGAUUUUAGCUCUAAAAUAUGUACAUAUCGCCCGUCNCUCCUUCUUGAAGGAAGGAUAAGUC